rnacentral:lncRNA from 1 species
UUUAGGCCACGGAGCUGCGUAGAUCCGGAACCCUGGGCGACUGAUCUGUCCCCAUUGGGCGAGACCUACCUAGACAAAGGCCUUAACAUACCGACAAAGGCCUUAAGGGGCCUGGGAGGAAGUCGUACAAAAUAAAUGUCUUCUGGAGAUGAUUUUUGGAAAUGGAGUUAUUAGACAGCCCCUGGAAGCGAUACAUCCACGUUUGUUCAGUGGGUUAGAUGACAUGGAGCUGGAAGACCUGAGAAGGAAGAGAAGAAGGUUCUAUGACAGACUGGUCAUAUUUAGAAGACACUUUCAUAUUCUAUCCAUAGUUUUGUAUGCAUUUUAUUCCUCACUACCUUAUAUAUAGUUGACAAUGCUAAGCUUUUUUGAAAUGUCUGUUUUUUUAGAUGUUCUGAAGUGCCUGAUAUAUGUUAAAAUUAAAGGUAAUAAAAACACAUUUUGUAAGU